UGGGGAAUAUUGCACAAUGGGCGCAAGCCUGAUGCAGCCAUGCCGCGUGUAUGAAGAAGGCCUUCGGGUUGUAAAGUACUUUCAGCGGGGAGGAAGGCGAUAAGGUUAAUAACCUUGUCGAUUGACGUUACCCGCAGAAGAAGCACCGGCUAACUCCGUGCCAGCAGCCGCGGUAAUACGGAGGGUGCAAGCGUUAAUCGGAAUUACUGGGCGUAAAGCGCACGCAGGCGGUCUGUCAAGUCGGAUGUGAAAUCCCCGGGCUCAACCUGGGAACUGCAUUCGAAACUGGCAGGCUAGAGUCUUGUAGAGGGGGGUAGAAUUCCAGGUGUAGGGGUGAAAUGCGUAGAGAUCUGGAG
rnacentral:rRNA from 1 species